GUGUCAGCAGCCGCGGUAAGACGUAGGAUGCGAGCGUUGUCCGGAUUUAUUGGGCGUAAAGAGUUCGUAGGUGGUUUGGUAAGUCUGGUGUAAAAGGCUGGGGCUCAACCCUGGUACAGCACUGGAUACUGUCAGACUGGAGUGCAGUAGAGGCAAGCGGAAUUCCCAGUGUAGCGGUGAAAUGCGUAGAUAUUGGGAAGAACACCGGUGGCGCAAGCGGCUUGCUGGGCUGUUACUGACACUGAGGAACGAAAGCUAGGGGAGCAAAUGGGAUUAGAUACCCUGGUAGUCC
rnacentral:rRNA from 1 species